AAUUAACUUAAAUAAAGUUUAUGUCUUGAAAACAUAAAAUAGAAGGUAUAACUUCUAUUAACUU
rnacentral:tRNA from 1 species